rnacentral:rRNA from 1 species
UUGGAUUUGUGGUGUGUCCAGUCGGCCUUUGCUCUUUGAGUGAUUGUGCUGUACUGGUCUGCCAUGUUUGGGUGGAAUCUGUGUGGCAUUAAGUUGUCGUGCAGGGGAUGCCCAUCGUUUACUGUGAAAAAAUUAGAGUGUUCAAAGCAGGCUUAUGCCGUUGAAUAUAUUAGCAUGGAAUAAUGAUAUAGGACCUUGGUACUAUUUUGUUGGUUUGCGCACUAAGGUAAUGAUUAAGAGGGACAGUUGGGGGUAUUUGUAUUCCAUUGUCAGAGGUGAAAUUCUUGGAUUUUUGGAAGACAAACUACUGCGAAAGCAUUUACCAAGGAUGUUUUCAUUAAUCA